rnacentral:lncRNA from 1 species
CAUCUUUGACUCUGGCAGUCUUGGAUUGCUGCUGGUGUUGCUGCUGAGAGGACGACGGGCGGCAGCGGCUAAGAAAGAAGAAAGACGUGGCAGCGGCGGGAGUCGGGGAUAGUGUCGUCGGUUCGGUAAAGUUUCUGUUCUCCGAUUUGGGGAUAUUCCCUGCCCAAAAAUUUCCUGGAAAAUUGACUAGUAUUAAGUGCGUAAUAGAUUGGAACUCAGUGAAGACACAGACAUUCCUGUUGAGAGCAACCAGCUAAUGUAAGUGUAGAAUGAAUUUUUUUCUCAUUAAAGAAGUGAACAUUUUUGUAAUUUAAGGCAUAAUUUU